rnacentral:rRNA from 1 species
AACGAACGCUGGCGGCUGGCUUAACACAUGCAAGUCGAACGCACCGCAAGGUGAGUGGCAGACGGGUGAGUAACACGUUGGGAUCUGCCCAAUGGUACGGAAUAGCUCCGGGAAACUGGAAUUAAUACCGUAUGUGCCCUUCGGGGGAAAGAUUUAUCGCCAUUGGAUGAACCCGCGUCGGAUUAGCUAGUUGGUGUGGUAAAGGCUAACCAAGGCGACGAUCCGUAGCUGGUCUGAGAGGAUGAUCAGCCACACAGGGACUGAGACACGGCCCGGAAUUCUACGGGAGGAAGCAGGGUGGAAUAUUGUACAAAGGGCGCAAGCCUGUUCCAGACAUGCCGCGUGAGUGAUGAAGGCCUUAGGGUUGUAAAGCUCUUUCGCCGACGAAGAUACUGACGGUAGUCGGAGAAGAAGCCCCGGAUAACUUCGUGCCAGCCGCCGCCGUAAAAC